rnacentral:lncRNA from 1 species
UGCUAAUGUUAAUUUUCUUUUUUCAUUUUUUUAACCCUUAAUUGCAUUAAGAGCCCUUAAGACACGUUAAUCAUGGUCUUAAUAGUUUCAUGGAAGUUUGGUUCCCUAUGUCAGUGGGGGACAUAGAAUAAAGUUCCAUGCAAUAAUGGUCCUCGUCUCUUUUUUUUUCUUUUGAAACUUAGGUCUCCGUCUCUUAUAAUAGAUCCGUCUCUUUGGAUCAGAAUCAGAUCACUUUUGGCGUAAACUUAUAAUAUUGUAAACAAAUAAGUAUACAAGUUUCUUUCGUGCAAAAGUCACGUUCAUAUCAUAAACUAACGAAAUACAAAACACUGAACUCCGCCAAUAUUAACAAUGAUCCAAAUUAACAAAAGACAGAGAUAGUUUGUAAAGUAAAGACAAUUAAAAAGAUUCAAAAAACCACAAAACUUGGGGAUGAAAAUGUAGCUUCCAGUUCAAAAAAAAAAAACAUGGUGAUGAAUUGAAGCUUGCAGAGUGAAAAAAGUUAACUAAAACUAGGAAACUGCAGCUGAUAAUCUCUAAAGUGAAGAGAAUGAAAAUAUAUAAACACCAAAUACGUAUAACAAUUAAUUAUUAUAAAGAAACCGAAUACUUAAAAAUCAAAUGUCAACAUAAAUUACAAAUACAUUAUCUCAAACACAAACAUAAAUAUAAAAACAUGUUUAGUUUCAAACACACUCAAAUACAAAAAUACAAAAAUACAAAAACAUGCAUAUGAGCUUAUGACGGGUGGGACGGAGAAUACAGUUCCCUCUAAUGGUCUUCGUCUUUUAUUCACAUAUCUCACUCCAUCAGAUUACACAGUAGAGUUGCUUAGCGAUAAUUAUGGCGAGACAACUUGCAUUCUUGCACAUGCAGUUUGUUUCUUACAAAUGUCACGUUCACAUUAGAGCAUAAUCAAUUCUGAAGAGAAUAUACAAAAAAACUAAGAAACUG